AGCACCGUGGUGUAGGGAACACACGCCAUCAUUGUAACAGAGAGAUUUCACCCGUCAGCCGGCGAGCCGGGGUUCGACUCCCCGCGGUGCAC